AGUGAACGCUGGCGGCAGGCCUAAUACAUGCAAGUCGAACGGCAGCACAGUGGAGCUUGCUCCAUGGGUGGCGAGUGGCGGACGGGUGAGGAAUACAUGGGAAUCUGCCCAGUCGUGGGGAUAACGUAUGGAAACGUACGCUAAUACCGCAUGCGCCCUUCGGGGGAAAGUCGGGGACCGCAAGGCCUGACGCGAUUGGAUGAGCCCAUGUUCGAUUAGCUAGUUGGCGGGUAACGGCCCACCAAGGCGACGAUCGAUAGCUGGUCUGAGAGGAUGAUCAGCCACACUGGAACUGAGACACGGUCCAGACUCCUACGGGAGGCAGCAGUAGGGAAUAUUGGACAAUGGGCGCAAGCCUGAUCCAGCCAUGCCGCGUGAGUGAAGAAGGCCCUCGGGUUGUAAAGCUCUUUUGUUGGGGAAGAAAGCAGUUGGUUAAUACCCGAUUGUUCUGACGGUACCCAAAGAUAAGCACCGGCUAACUUCGUGCCAGCAGCCG
rnacentral:rRNA from 1 species